CACACCAGGUGCCCACGCUUAUCCCUGAGCCGUUAAGUAAUUGCAGCCUUCCCAGCAAUACAGAGCCCUGAGCAAACAGACCACAACUUGGCUAAACACAGUCCUUCCCUUUGAACUGGGGUUCUGGCACCAGCAUCCAGCUUCUUCCUUCCUUCCCAGGAUCCUCACUCUGGACUGUUCAGCCAGCAACCAUGCAGAAGCACUGAGGGAUCGUCCCGCAGGGCAUUUUCAGGCUGACUGGGGGAAACUGGGGCAUGGAGCGUGGUAUUCCUUGAAACAACUGCAAAGGCUGAGGGCAGCCCAAGCGGAGGAGGAGGAGCUGCCUGGGGAAGCACGGGGCUUGCAAAAACCCUGGCUUGGGCUGCACGUGGAUGCUGGGAGCUGCAAGACAAGCACAUGUGAUCCACGCUGACAGCAGCACCCCGAGCCUUUCCAGCAUGCUUUCCCAUCUGCGUCAUGGAUGGCCAUCAUUUGUAAGGAAGGUCAAAGGAAAUCUCAAAAAAAGAGGAGAUCAGAGCUCAACUCUCACCCCGCAGAGCCACGCAAGUGUCUCCAGACGUAGGUGUGCCCUCAGCAUCCCCCCCUGCUAUUUCAGGAUUCUUGAAUCCUGGAAACCCAGCAACCACAACAGCGAUGCCUUUCACUUUCUCAGCCUUUUUUUCCACCCAGCCCGAGGUGGAGUUUCCCUGCUCCGGAUGCCUGUCAUUGUCUGGCCUUCCGGAGGCUGGACAGGGGCUAUUUUGAACUUUGCCAGUGCUCCUGAUCACCGAGCAGGGCUGGAGGAUGCAGUUUGGUGACACAGAAGCCUUGAGGCAGGCCAGCACCUCCAUUGCGAGCACAGC